GCCCCGGGCCCCCCCGCCCCACCGCCUGGACCAGGACUCCUGCUUCUACAGUAGCCGGAGGACGCUGUUUCCUCCUCCUCCGUCUCCGGGCAGCCUGAGCCUCCAGGAUUACUGGCUGAGCCCACAGCGCCGUUACCUGGCCGGCUCAGCCUGGCGCUGGCCCACCCGCCGCCUGCUCCUGCUCCCGCCUUCCACCGGCCUGGCCGACUUCGAGUCGGCCACCCGUGCCAGUUGCUGCGGCUACCGGCCCAACCUCAUGUGGAAAUACCACUGGCAGAACCUCAACCACCGUUUCUUGGGCAAAAGGAUGCGCCACCUGAUACCACUGUACCUGUGACCAGCCAGGGGCUUUGGUGGAUGGAUCCCAGAAGAACCCAUGACAAUCCCAUGAUCAUCCGAUGACGAUCCCAUGAUGAUCCUGAACCUUGCUCUUCGGGGAUGGGGUUUGCUACCUUGACCCACACUGAGCUCUGUGUCUCCCCCUUCCCCUGCUCCACCACACAAAUAAAGCAGCUUUGAUGA